rnacentral:rRNA from 1 species
AUUGAACGCUGGCGGUAUGCUUAAUACAUGCAAGUCGGGCGCGCGGCGGACGGGUGAGUAAUGUAUGGGGAUCUGCCUGAUGGAGGGGGAUAACUACUGGAAACGGUAGCUAAUACCGCAUACCAUCAGAUGAACCCAUAUGGGAUUAGCUUGUAGGUGAGGGAACGGCUCACCUAGGCGACGAUCCCUAGCUGGUCUGAGAGGGUGAUCGGCCACACUGGAACUGAGACACGGCCCAGACUCCUACGGGAGGCAGCAGUGGGGAAUCUUGCACAAUGGGCGCAAGCCUGAUGCAGCCAUGCCGCGUGUAUGAAGAAGGCCUUCGGGUUGUAAAGUACUUUCAGUCGGGAGGCGUUACCGACAGAGGAAGCACCGGCUAACUCCGUGCCAGCAGCCGCGGUAAUUC